rnacentral:rRNA from 1 species
CGGUUGAUCCUGCCGGAGGCCACUGCUAUGGGGGUCCGACUAAGCCAUGCGAGUCAUGGGGCGCGCUCUGCGCGCACCGGCGGACGGCUCAGUAACACGUCGGUAACCUACCCUCGGGAGGGGGAUAACCCCGGGAAACUGGGGCUAAUCCCCCAUAGGCCUGAGGUACUGGAAGGUCCUCAGGCCGAAAGGGGCUUUGCCCGCCCGAGGAUGGGCCGGCGGCCGAUUAGGUAGUUGGUGGGGUAAUGGCCCACCAAGCCGAAGAUCGGUACGGGCCAUGAGAGUGGGAGCCCGGAGAUGGACACUGAGACACGGGUCCAGGCCCUACGGGGCGCAGCAGGCGCGAAACCUCCGCAAUGCGGGCAACCGCGACGGGGGGACCCCCAGUGCCGUGGCAUCGCCACGGCUUUUCCGGAGUGUAAAAAGCUCCGGGAAUAAGGGCUGGGCAAGGCCGGUGGCAGCCGCCGCGGUAAUACCGGCGGCCCGAGUGGUGGCCGCUAUUAUUGGGCCUAAAGCGUCCGUAGCCGGGCCCGUAAGUCCCUGGCGAAAUCCCACGGCUCAACCGUGGGGCUUGCUGGGGAUACUGCGGGCCUUGGGACCGGGAGAGGCCGGGGGUACCCCUGGGGUAGGGGUGAAAUCCUAUAAUCCCAGGGGGACCGCCAGUGGCGAAGGCGCCCGGCUGGAACGGGUCCGACGGUGAGGGACGAAGGCCAGGGGAGCGAACCGGAUUAGAUACCCGGGUAGUCCUGGCUGUAAAGGAUGCGGGCUAGGUGUCGGGCGAGCUUCGAGCUCGCCCGGUGCCGAAGGGAAGCCGUUAAGCCCGCCGCCUGGGGAGUACGGCCGCAAGGCUGAAACUUAAAGGAAUUGGCGGGGGAGCAC